AGUUACUCCAGGGUAAAGAUGGGGUUUGAUUCAAUAACUAUUAGGUAAGGGACCCAAUGACGGCUUUAUACCUGCUUAUAAACGGUGGGUCUAACUUAACUAAGAAGUGCGGAUAAUAACUGUUAGGUGAGCCUACAUGACUUAGAGACCAAGUGGCUGCAACAUGCUUAGAGAAGCAUCUGGGUAAAGAGUUGUCCAC
rnacentral:lncRNA from 1 species